GACGAACGCUGGCGGCGUGCUUAACACAUGCAAGUCAAGGGGCCGCAAGGGUAACCGGCGAACGGGUGCGUAACACGUGAGCAAUCUGCCUAGAUGUGGGGGAGUAGCCGGCCCAACGGCCGGGUAAUACCGCAUACGCUCGUCGACUGGCAUCAGUUGACGAGGAAACUUUCGAGGCAUCUAGAGGAGCUCGCGGCCUAUCAGCUAGUUGGUGGGGUAACGGCCUACCAAGGCGGUGACGGGUAGCUGGUCUGAGAGGAUGGCCAGCCACAUUGGGACUGAGAUACGGCCCAGACUCCUACGGGAGGCAGCAGUGGGGAAUAUUGCGCAAUGGCCGAAAGGCUGACGCAGCGACGCCGCGUGGGGGAUGAAGCAUUUCGGUGUGUAAACCCCUGUUGCUCGGGACGAACAAGCCUUUUCGAGGGCUCUGACGGUACCGAGUGAGGAAGCACCGGCUAACUCCGUGCCAGCAGCCGCGGUAAU
rnacentral:rRNA from 1 species